AUUGAACGCUGGCGGCAGGCUUAACACAUGCAAGUCGAGCGGGGUGAUGGUGCUUGCACUAUCACUUAGCGGCGGACGGGUGAGUAAUGCUUAGGAAUCUGCCUAUUAGUGGGGGACAACAUCUCGAAAGGGAUGCUAAUACCGCAUACGUCCUACGGGAGAACGCAGGGGAUCACUUGUGACCUUGCGCUAACAGAUGAGCCUAAGUCGGAUAAGCUAGUCGGGGGGGUAAAGGCCAACAAAGGCGAGGGUCUGUAGCGGGUCUGAGAGGAUGAUCCGCCACACUGGGACUGAAACACGGCCCAGACUCCUACGGGAGGCAGCAGUGGGGAAUAUUGGACAAUGGGGAACCCUGAUCCAGCCAUGCCACGUGUGUGAAGAAGGCCUUAUGGUUGUAAAGCACUUUAAGCGAGGAGGAGGCUCUUUUGGUUAAUACCCAAGAUGAGUGGACGUUACUCGCAGAAUAAGCACCGGCUAACUCUGUGCCAGCAGCCGCCGUAA
rnacentral:rRNA from 1 species